AUCUUUCCGACGCCCGUAAAAUACAAGAAAAAUAAACAAGGGGGUAGUCGUCGCCACUAGCCAGCCAAUCCUUGGUAGUGGAGACGUUCAUCAAAUUUUCUGCAUAUUUUUUCCGUUUCUUUGCCAAAACGUCGUACGCAAUGAGAGGGGACCGCGGCAGGGGUCGAGGAGGCCGCUUUGGGUCCCGCGGAGGACUCGCCCAGGGGUACCGUCCAUUUGUUCCACACAUACCAUUUGAUUUUUACGUGUGUGAGAUGGCCUUCCCCAGAGUGAAGCCCGCGCCCGAUGAGAGUGCGUUCAGCGAGUGUCUGCUGAAGAGAAAUCAAGACCUGAGCCCGACAUCGACGGAACAGUCCUCCAUCUUGUCCCUGGUCACCAAGAUCAACAACGUCAUCGAUAACCUGAUUGUUGCCCCUGGGAACUUUGAAGUGCAAAUCGAGGAGGUGCGUCAGGUGGGCUCUUACAAGAAGGGGACCAUGACAACCGGCCACAACGUCGCGGACCUCGUCGUGAUCCUCAAGAUUCUCCCGACAUUGGAGGCUGUCGCAGCCCUGGGCAACAAAGUCGUGGAUACUCUUCGCACGCAGGACCCGACCGAAGUGCUGUCCAUGCUGACCAACGAGACGGGCUUUGAGAUCAGCUCGGCGGACGCCACGGUCAAGAUCCUCAUCACCACCGUCCCUCCCAACCUGCGCAAACUGGACCCAGAGUUACACCUGGACAUCAAGGUGUUGCAGAGCGCCCUCGCGGCCAUCCGCCACGCCCGCUGGUUUGAGGAAAACGCUUCUCAAUCCACGGUCAAAGUGCUGAUCCGCCUCCUGAAGGACCUCAGGCUGCGCUUCCCCGGCUUUGAGCCUCUCACGCCUUGGAUUUUGGACUUGCUGGGUCACUCAGCGGUGAUGAACAAUCCAUCCAGGCAGCCACUGUCUCUAAAUGUGGCCUACAGGCGCUGCCUGCAGAUGUUGGCCGCCGGGCUCUUCCUGCCCGGCUCGGUGGGCAUCACUGACCCCUGUGAGAGCGGAAACUUCCGAGUGCACACGGUCAUGACUCUGGAGCAGCAGGACGCCGUGUGCUUCACCGCUCAGACGCUGGUGAGGGUCCUGUCACACGGGGGCUUCAGGAAGAUCCUGGGCCUGGACGGGGACGCCAGCUAUCUGGCCACGCAGAUGUCCGUUUGGGACGGUGUCAUCGUGACCCCUUCAGAAAAGGCCUAUGAGAAGCCCCCAGAGAAGAAGGAGGAGGAAGAGGAAACUCUCGAGGAGGGAGGGGACGCAGAGGAUGACAGCAUGGAAACGCAGGAUUGACAAGACGGAGCCUCGCUGGACAGGAGCACCGGCACGAAUCCACGGUCCCAAAGGGGGGGGGGGGUCCGCUGCAGUAGUUGUGAUGUUUUUUUUCUUCAUGUUUUUAUUUGAUGCUGUUAUUCUGAAUUACAUCUUUUUUUCCCAUUGUCUCUUGGGUUUUGUCAUGAUGAGGCAUACAUACCCCAGGACUUGAUCGGACAUUUUUUGUAUAUAUAUUUGUAUUUUCAGGAAAGUCCACUUUAUGUGAAAAAAAAACUUCUCCGUCAAUCUCAAUUUUCAUCCACUCAUAAUUUGCAUAACACGAUCGGUCGACAAGCAAAAUACAUGUCCAAAAUGGCCACCCGCCGGUAACAAAAUAAUCCAGUGCCAAAGAAGGAUGCACACACAAAGGGAGAGAACAUAGCAACAAAUGGAGGGCAAUUGCGCCAAACCUCCACAAUGGAGGCGGGGGCCACUAAAUCACGAGGGAAGCAUCAAAACGGAGCAGUAGGAA